UUUGACUCUGGAAAGCCUCCCCCAAACCCCAGGACAAAGAUGACUUUUGGAAGAUUGCCCAAAACGAUAGCUAGAGUGCGCCCUGGGCUCUGGGAGAUGGAGGAGAGAGGCGACAGGAGGAGUCAAUGGUUUGCCCAGUGCUGCGGGGAGGCGCUUUGCACGCUCUAGAUCGCAAGCCAAGCGUCUAGUGCCAAGAGCUGUCAGGCAAAAGACUGGUCAGCUGGAGAGACUUCUCGGGACGCGGAGAGGUAGAACAGGUUUGCAGAGCGCUGGCAGCCUCGGUUGACACUAAGGAUCUAUUGCCCCGCGCGCGCGCGAUGCGUGAGCUGAAUUGGGGUGGAAGGGCCUGUUGAAGAGCCAGGGAAGCAGCGUUUAGGAGAGAGUUUUCCGAGGCCACGCCGUGACGGUCGACAUUAAUAUUAGUGGAAAGACGCGUGCCCCGCAGUAAGAUCAUGAGAAGGGAUCCAGGAAAUGAAAGAGGAGAGGCAAGAAGAUUUUACAACUUCAAAAGUAUUUAAAACUUAGCCUGCAAAAUAAAAACAUCUUCAUAAAAGUUAUGAAGACCCGUUUCUAAAGUAUACAAGCUAAAGAACUGAUUAUGUACCACAAAAGCUGUGAAGCCGAGAUCUUAAUUUUCUUAGCACCGGGUUGCAGCCCUUGGGUUGAAGAGAGCAAACGCCACUAAUAUGGAAACAUAAACCAGAGAGAGAUGCAUUCCUUUGCCUACCACCAGAUGCUCCAAUGGAAGCAUCAUUUGCAGGGAGGAUGCUUGGAAUUACGUCUGAGAUCAAGAAGCAGAUGGAAAGCACCCGUGUGCUCCAUGUCCCGCUGACUGCUUUUAAUAUGUGUUCAAUUCUCUACGGAUUUAAGGCUUGGGCUCUCUGUGCUCUGCUUCCCCUGUGUCCACCUGAGCAUCGAUUGCUGCUUCUUUCCUAACCCCCGAGGACCUUUCUGUGGGCAUUCCCUUCAGAGCACGAGUCUUCUCCGUUUGCACAGCCAUAUAUAAAGUCAUCACACCAUUCCAAAGACAUCAAACAAGGAAUGAAUAUACAGCUCUUUCUGAUCUACAUGAAGAAACUACAAAAUACAAGAGAGAUGGAAAGAGAAAGAAAGAAAAAGCCCCGGAAUAAGGGCACAGAGAAGACUCGUCACUGCCUACAUCCCAUCUGAGCUUCAUGGUCAUUUUUAUGGAUCAUCAAAACAG
rnacentral:lncRNA from 1 species